UUCCAACAGUGAGCGCGGCCUAAGCUGCAGGUUUGGAACGUCACUCGUUGGUCAUUCCUUCAACAGGAGAAAGCCCAUAGCAGAUAAAGGACAGAUGUCAGCUGAGAGGUGUAAGACUUCAAAGUUGCCCCAUAGGAAAACACCACUGGGCAAG